UACGUAGGGUGCAAGCAUUAAUCGGAUUUAUUGGGCGUAAAGGGCGCGUAGGCGGAAAUGAAAGUCAGACGUGAAAUCCCGGGGCUCAACCCCGGAACAGCAUUUGAAACUCCAUUUCUAGAGGGUAGGCGGAGAAAACGGAAUUCCACAAGUAGCGGUGAAAUGCGUAGAUAUGUGGAAGAACACCGGUGGCGAAGGCGGUUUUCUAGCUUACACCUGACGCUGAGGCGCGAAAGCAAGGGGAGCAAACAGG
rnacentral:rRNA from 1 species